rnacentral:tmRNA from 2 species
GGGGGCGCAUAGGCUUCGACGGGAGUGGUCAGCGUCCUGUGAGACGAGCCGAGUUUGCUGGAGACUCGUAAAACGCCGGCAGCAAAAGAUACACGCCAACGAUGAAAUGGCUCUGGCUGCUUAACUAAAAGGUAGCCCAUCGGUCCGGGCGGCCCACGGCCCGGUUCCCGGUGUCAUUGAGUGGGCUCACCCUCAGCGUUCUGGCCCGGAGCACCGAGGGGACAUUCAACGGGCUAGGCCUCGCGGCGGCGCCCCGGUCCGUCGCAGCAGGCGAGACUAAACCGGGAGCUAUGCUCGUAGAAUCUCACGGACGGCGCGCUCGCGGACGCGGGUUCGAAUCCCGCCGCCUCCACUG